CUCACAUCUGACAGCCCUGCCAAGUAGAAGACUUCUGUAACAAAGGUGAGAAACAAGUUGGCUUUUCCGUCUGCAAAUCCACGCAGUCUAGUGUGUGAACAGCAGGGAGCACCAUUGAACCAUUUUCUGGUCUGGCUGUGUGGGCAUUUUCUUCCCUCAAGCAGUGGGCACACUGAGGUUGGGCCAGAGGAAAUGCCAGACCCACCAGGAAACAGGCCAGCCACCUCAGGCCCCUGCUUCUGGUAGACAGAGCUGACGGUGGUCCCAGGGUAACAGCCAGCCCCAAGAAUCAACUCAGAGUAGGCCCCUUGCCCCUGUAGCUAGAAAGCCUAGAGAACAGCUCAGAGUCCUGCUUCAUGGCUUUAAAGCAAGUUCUGGGCAGACUUGAAUACAACUCACCAGUGGCCAGAGAAGCUCCUGUUCUUGGGUUUGAGCAAAGACCUUGAUCAGGGGUGCUGUGGCCAUGAGGUACCAUUUGGGGAAGGGUUUCUGUUUCUCUUCCCAGUGACUCAUUUGCCCCUGAGAAGAAAGGGCCAAAGAGAGCCUGUCCAAAUGACAGGUCUUGCUCCCUCUGCUGUCCUGGUGUACCCCAGCCCCCCAAGCUGUCAGUGAGCGCCCUUGUGGUUGCCUCAUGGUCAGCAUGUGAGACAGUCCUGCUGCAGGAGGGCAGUUGACACUCCCCAUCUCAUGCCUGAGGCUUUGGGGUCCCUCAUCACUUACUUGCAGACCCAGGCCCAGCCUCAAGGAGCCAAGCCCUGUCAAUUAAGUGUGCCCAAACAUAGAAAAGCUGGGAAAUCAGGGACCAUACCUAAGGACCAGACAGCCAGCCCAAACGAGGGCCACCCAGCAAGCUAGAGACAGCUAGAUUCAGAGUAUGGCGCUUUAGUUCCUCCUGGGAGGUGAGGGAGUUGAGUGAGACAGCUGAGCAUACCUCCCCGGUCUUCUUCUGUGUCCUCCAGAAAGAACAGAGAGCCUGGAUGGCCCUCAUCUCCUCUGAGCCUCAGACCCAGGGCAUCAAAGUCCUUCUAGGACCUUCUGCUAUGUCUUCCUGGCCCAGGAGAGGCAG
rnacentral:lncRNA from 1 species